rnacentral:tRNA from 2 species
CAAAAUAUAACUAAAAUAGAAUAGUAUUUCAUUUACAUUGAAAGUAAUUACCGUGCAAGUCGGUUUAUUUUGA